rnacentral:rRNA from 1 species
AACGAACGCUGGCGGCAUGCCUAACAUAUGCAAGUCGAACGAAGCCUUCGGGCUUAGUGGCGCACGGGUGCGUAACGCGUGGGAAUCUGCCCUUUGGUUCGGAAUAACAGUUGGAAACGACUGCUAAUACCGGAUGAUGACGAAGGUCCAAAGAUUUAUCGCCAGAGGAUGAGCCCGCGUAGGAUUAGCUAGUUGGUGUGGUAAAGGCGCACCAAGGCGACGAUCCUUAGCUGGUCUGAGAGGAUGAUCAGCCACACUGGGACUGAGACACGGCCCAGACUCCUACGGGAGGCAGCAGUGGGGAAUAUUGGACAAUGGGCGAAAGCCUGAUCCAGCAAUGCCGCGUGAGUGAUGAAGGCCCUAGGGUUGUAAAGCUCUUUUACCCGGGAUGAUAAUGACAGUACCGGGAGAAUAAGCCCCGGCUAACUCCGUGCCAGCAGCCGCCGUAA